rnacentral:rRNA from 1 species
UUUGUCCUACGGGAGGCAGCAGUGAGGAAUAUUGGUCAAUGGGCGGGAGCCUGAACCAGCCAAGUCGCGUGAGGGAAGACGGUCCUAUGGAUUGUAAACCUCUUUUGUCGGGGAGCAAAGAGGCCUCGUGAGGUCAAAAGCGAGAGUACCCGAAGAAAAAGCAUCGGCUAACUCCGUGCCAGCAGCCGCGGUAAUACGGAGGAUGCGAGCGUUAUCCGGAUUUAUUGGGUUUAAAGGGUGCGUAGGCGGGACGG